UUGCUGGGUGGAUUAGUGGCGAACGGGUGAGUAACACGUGAGUAACCUGCCCUUAACUCUGGGAUAAGCCUGGGAAACUGGGUCUAAUACCGGAUAGGAGCGUCCACCGCAUGGUGGGUGUUGGAAAGAUUUAUCGGUUUUGGAUGGACUCGCGGCCUAUCAGCUUGUUGGUGAGGUAAUGGCUCACCAAGGCGACGACGGGUAGCCGGCCUGAGAGGGUGACCGGCCACACUGGGACUGAGACACGGCCCAGACUCCUACGGGAGGCAGCAGUGGGGAAUAUUGCACAAUGGGCGCAAGCCUGAUGCAGCGACGCCGCGUGAGGGAUGACGGCCUUCGGGUUGUAAACCUCUUUCAGUAGGGAAGAAGCGAAAGUGACGGUACCUGCAGAAGAAGCACCGGCUAACUACGUGCCAGCAGCCGCGGUAAUACGUAGGGUGCGAGCGUUAUCCGGAAUUAUUGGGCGUAAAGAGCUCGUAGGCGGUUUGUCGCGUCUGUCGUGAAAGUCCGGGGCUUAACCCCGGAUCUGCGGUGGGUACGGGCAGACUAGAGUGCAGUAGGGGAGACUGGAAUUCCUGGUGUAGCGGUGGAAUGCGCAGAUAUCAGGAGGAACACCGAUGGCGAAGGCAGGUCUCUGGGCUGUAACUGACGCUGAGGAGCGAAAGCAUGGGGAGCGAACAGGAUUAGAUACCCUGGUAGUCCAUGCCGUAAACGUUGGGCACUAGGUGUGGGGACCAUUCCACGGUUUCCGCGCCGCAGCUAACGCAUUAAGUGCCCCGCCUGGGGAGUACGGCCGCAAGGCUAAAACUCAAAGGAAUUGACGGGGGCCCGCACAAGCGGCGGAGCAUGCGGAUUAAUUCGAUGCAACGCGAAGAACCUUACCAAGGCUUGACAUGUUCUCGAUCGCCGUAGAGAUACGGUUUCCCCUUUGGGGCGGGUUCACAGGUGGUGCAUGGUUGUCGUCAGCUCGUGUCGUGAGAUGUUGGGUUAAGUCCCGCAACGAGCGCAACCCUCGUUCCAUGUUGCCAGCACGUCGUGGUGGGGACUCAUGGGAGACUGCCGGGGUCAACUCGGAGGAAGGUGAGGACGACGUCAAAUCAUCAUGCCCCUUAUGUCUUGGGCUUCACGCAUGCUACAAUGGCCGGUACAAUGGGUUGCGAUACUGUGAGGUGGAGCUAAUCCCAAAAAGCCGGUCUCAGUUCGGAUUGGGGUCUGCAACUCGACCCCAUGAAGUCGGAGUCGCUAGUAAUCGCAGAUCAGCAACGCUGCGGUGAAUACGUUCCCGGGCCU
rnacentral:rRNA from 1 species